AGAAAGGAUUUCUUCCGACAGACGUGACCCCAGAAGGCUGCCGAGGGAGACUUUAGGACAAGAGGCGUUGUUUUUGGAAGGAAGAGGAGCCUGUGCAGAGUUGAACUGGGGUGGAGAGGUGCCUUGUAAAGUAUGGUUUCCAGAGAUGGUGAGACCUCGUAGCUAAGCGUUGUUUCCUCUGCACGUAACUUUUCAGCGUGGCCGCAUUUGGAAAAGGCUGAAGGUAGAAAACUCUGGAAUGGAGAGGCUGGCGACUGGAGCAGGAUCCAGGGGCUUUAAAUUUUAACCUGAAUGCGAUCGAAUGCGCGACUCCCAGAAGAGAUAGCCAGGCGUCCGCCCGGCCGCUCAACCCCCGCCAGGACUCGGAAUGCCUUGCUUUUGGUUCUUUUCUACAAGGAUGUCUGCGUGGAUAUCCCUGGACACUCGAUACCCCCCGGGGACCUGCUUUUCCCGCAGCUCCGCAGACGCGGCGGGAGGGCGCGCUGGCCCCGGCGCUGCUGGGACAGAGGUGAGCAGCGGGGUGGACAUUGACCGAUUCGACAACGUUCGGGCUCUAAGGGCUCGGGAAGGGACCCGGCAUUUUACCCUCCAGAUUCCCAAUCUAUUUUUAAAAAUAAUGUUCAAAACAUAUGGGAAAAAUAAGUGAUUGCUCCUUUUCAUGGUCACAGAUUGUAUUUAUUUUUUCAGACUGGUUUUCCAACCUAACGAGGGAAUGGGUAGUGAAUGUUGUUGUUGUUGUUGUUGUUUAUGUUGGUUAAUUUCGAAAUAAAACUGUUUAACUCGUA
rnacentral:lncRNA from 1 species